GACGAACGCUGGCGGCGUGCUUAACACAUGCAAGUCGAACGAAGAGCGAUGGAAGCUUGCUUCUAUCAAUCUUAGUGGCGAACGGGUGAGUAACGCGUAAUCAACCUGCCCUUCAGAGGGGGACAACAGUUGGAAACGACUGCUAAUACCGCAUACGAUCUAAUCUCGGCAUCGAGGAUAGAUGAAAGGUGGCCUCUACAUGUAAGCUAUCACUGAAGGAGGGGAUUGCGUCUGAUUAGCUAGUUGGAGUGGUAACGGCCCACCAAGGCGAUGAUCAGUAGCCGGUCUGAGAGGAUGAACGGCCACAUUGGGACUGAGACACGGCCCAGACUCCUACGGGAGGCAGCAGUGGGGAAUCUUCCGCAAUGGACGAAAGUCUGACGGAGCAACGCCGCGUGAGUGAUGACGGCCUUCGGGUUGUAAAGCUCUGUUAAUCGGGACGAAAGGCCUUCUUGCGAAUAGUGAGAAGGAUUGACGGUACCGGAAUAGAAAGCCACGGCUAACUACGUG
rnacentral:rRNA from 1 species